rnacentral:lncRNA from 1 species
AAACGGUUUCUUCGUAAAAAACUUGGCCAUCUAUUCUAUAAGUUCGUCAAAAUAUUCGUAAAACAAGUAUAAAAUAAAAAAGUUCAGAAUCUGUCAUAGUAUAAUUUAUUGACUGUUUUGAGAAAACGUUGUUGAUAAAAAUCAAUGUUUAGGGUGUAACCUAAGAACAGCUCAGCUGCAUGGAAAACCUAAGAUUCUGUUAGUAAACCAGUACUCGCAAGUCAAUAAAGUAUCGCAGUAAAUAAUCCAUCUUAAAUAGUAUGUAAGCAAGUCGUAAUAUCUAAUUAUGAAAAAGUUUUCAGGCCUAGAAAAAGUAAUUAAAAUUAAACGGUAACAAGAAAAACUGUAAAAAAAAAGACAAGAAAAAGAAAAGUAAAGCAGAUUCCUUGACCUAUGUGAUAAUCGCUGAUCGUUAACACUAUUAUAGCGGUUAAUGCUUUCGAUCAUGUUAGUUAGGGUCAGCUAGAAAAUAUAGUAAGGUAAGAAAUAAACUGAACCAUAUACUCCAAAGAAAAAUUGUUAAUCAAAACAAAAGAUAUAUGACUUGGCAAAAAAAAAAUAUAGGACUAGAGUUUUGAUGAGAUUCACAUUAAAAUAACAUUUUAGUAAUUUUCGAU